CGCUUGAGCGACAGCCAUUAAAGAUGUCCUGUGCCUGUCUCCUUCAGUUUUCAGUAGUUGAAGGUGAAGUUCGUUCAUUGUUUGUUUAUCCUUUAUUUUAUCGCAUCAUCAAGUUGAUGAUAAUUUUUGAUUGCUGAAGGUCUUAAAUUAAGACGAAGGUGGGAAUAGAACUGCAGAUACAUAUUAUACUAAAAUCCACCAUGACAGAUGAAUAUGAUGCCAAGGAUUAGAUUUGAAAAAAGUUCUUCUCCUCUCUACAUUUGAUGAAAGCCAUUUUCAGCAAAGGUGGGAAUAGAACUGCAGACGCAUAUACCAAAAUCCACCAUGACAGACGAAUAUGCUGCCAACUACAGUUUUAGAUUUAAAACUCCUUUCUACAUCUGAUGGAAACCAUUUUCAGACCAAGAGUAGAGAGACUACGCCUCAUGAAGCUCAAAUCGAGGACGAUAGCAGUUCAAAGUAAAAAUAUAUAAUUAGUUAUAAAUUGAAAGUUCAAUUUUUGUAAUAUUUAAUAAAAAUCAUUGCAUUUUAUUGAAAA